rnacentral:rRNA from 1 species
AACGAACGCUGGCGGCAUGCCUAACACAUGCAAGUCGAACGAUACCUUCGGGUCUAGUGGCGCACGGGUGCGUAACGCGUGGGAACCUGCCCUUAGGUUCGGAAUAACUCCCCGAAAGGGGUGCUAAUACCGGAUAAUGUCUUCGGACCAAAGAUUUGUCGCCUUUGGAUGGGCCCGCGUUGGAUUAGCUAGUUGGUAGGGUAAAAGCCUACCAAGGCGACGAUCCAUAGCUGGCCUGAGAGGAUGAUCAGCCACACUGGGACUGAGACACGGCCCAGACUCCUACGGGAGGCAGCAGUGGGGAAUAUUGGACAAUGGGCGAAAGCCUGAUCCAGCAAUGCCGCGUGAGUGAUGAAGGCCUUAGGGUUGUAAAGCUCUUUUACCCGGGAUGAUAAUGACAGUACCGGGAGAAUAAGCUCCGGCUAACUCCGUG